rnacentral:rRNA from 1 species
UACGUAGGGUGCAAGCGUUGUCCGGAAUUAUUGGGCGUAAAGAGCUUGUAGGCGGUUUGUCGCGUCUGCUGUGAAAUUUCGGGGCUCAACCCCGAACUUGCAGUGGGUACGGGCAGACUAGAGUGUGGUAGGGGAGACUGGAAUUCCUGGUGUAGCGGUGAAAUGCGCAGAUAUCGGGAGGAACACCAGUAGCGAAGGCGACACUCUGGGCCGGUACUGACGCUGAGGAGCGAAAGCGUGGGGAGCAAACAGG